rnacentral:pre_miRNA from 1 species
CUACUGCUCCCUCCGUCCGGAAAUACUUGUCAUUGAAAUGGAUGUAUCUAGAUGUAUUUUAGUUCUAGAUACAUUCAUUUUCAUCCACUUUGAUGACAAGUAAUUCCGGACGGAGGGAGUACUAG